GGGGAUUUAGCUCAGUGUCAUAGCACGUGCCUUGCAAGCAUGAGGUCCUGAGUUCGAACUCUGUGCCA
rnacentral:tRNA from 1 species